UGAUUGUGGCUUAACAGACAAAAGCUGUCCAGCUCUGGCUACAGUUCUUGGAUCAGAAACUAAUCUGAAAGUGCUGAACAUGAACAAUAAUAAUCUGCAGGAUUCAGAAGUGGAGCUCCUUUGCACUGGCUUGAAAAAUAUUAAUUGCAAAUUAGAGAUACUGAGGUUAAACUGCAUCAGUAUUACAGAUGAAGGUUGUGCUGCUCUGGCAUCAGCGUUUAAUUCAAACCUCAGAGAGCUGGAUCUGAGCAGGAAUCAAAUAGGAGACUCUGGAGUGACAGAAAUCUCCAGUCUGCUGAGAAAUUCACAGACACUACAGAUACUCAGAUAUUUUCAAUGAGAAUUAAAUCUGGAGACUGAACAGGCCACUCAAGAACAUUCUAUGACUGAUCCCUGAACCAAGCAGAAGUAGAUUUGGAUGUGUACUUUGGGAUGACUGUCCUGCAGGAAAGUCCAUUGAUCAUCAGCU